rnacentral:rRNA from 1 species
AGCAGCCGCGGUAAUUCCAGCUCCAAUAGCGUAUAUUAAAGUUGUUGCAGUUAAAAAGCUCGUAGUUGAACUUCGGGAUUCACCCAUUGGUCAGGCUUAAUUGUCUGUACUGGUGAGAUGAGUCUCUACCUUCUGAGGAACUUUCAUGCCAUUUAUUUGGUGCGGCUGGAAAUCAGGACUGUUACUUUGAAAAAUUAGAGUGUUUAAAGCAGGCUAACGUCUGAAUACAUUAGCAUGGAAUAAUGAAAUAGGACGGAUUGAUUCUAUUUCGUUGGUUUCUAGGGUCACCGUAAUGAUUAAUAGGGAUAGUUGGGGGCAUUAGUAUUCAAUUGUCAGAGGUGAAAUUCUUGGAUUUAUUGAAGACUAACUACUGCGAAAGCAUUUGCCAAGGAUGUUUUCAUUAAUCAAGAACGAAAGUUAGGGGAUCGAAGACGAUCAGAUACCGUCGUAGUCUUAACUAUAAACUAUGCCGACUAGGGAUCGGACGCAGUUAAUUUAUAAUGACGUGUUCGG